UCUCUGGGGUGUUAGCCAGUCUUUGAAGUCCUCGAGCCUUACUCAUUUUUUCGGAGGUUCCUCGACAUUGAGGGAGUGCAUGUCCGCCUUGAGCGGAAAGCCCAAAUCGAAUCAGGAACCACCACCUUGAACCCUCAGGUUCAAGGCCUUACUCUGACAGCGGCACAGCGGAGAGU
rnacentral:other from 1 species